AUAUUUAGGUUGAUGCAAAAGUAAUUGCGGUUUUUGCCAUUACUUUCAGUGGAAAAAUCACAAUUACUUUUGCACCAACCUAAUACAU
rnacentral:miRNA from 1 species